rnacentral:rRNA from 1 species
GACGGAGGAUGCAAGUGUUAUCCGGAAUCACUGGGCGUAAAGCGUGCGUAGACGGUUAUUUAAGUCAGGUGUGAAAGCCCCGGGCUCAACCUGGGAAUUGCAUUUGAGACUGAAUAGCUAGGGUGCGGAAGAGGGAAGCGGAAUUUCCGGUGUAGCGGUGAAAUGCGUAGAUAUGCGGAGGAACACCGAUGGCGAAGGCAAUCCCCUGGGCCUGCACUGACGCUCAUGCACGAAAGCGUGGGGAGCAAACAGG